rnacentral:rRNA from 1 species
AGCAGCCGCGGUAAUUCCAGCUCCAAUAGCGUAUAUUAAAGUUGUUGCAGUUAAAAAGCUCGUAGUUGAAUUUCGGAAUUUUUUUAUCGGUUGAAUCAACAGGUUCGUACUGAUUUUAAGAAUUUCUACCUUCUGGAGAACCUUAAUGUCAUUUAUUUGGUGUUUUGGGAAACCAGGACUGUUACCUUGAAAAAUUAGAGUGUUUAAAGCAGGCUUAUGUCUGAAUAUAUUAGCAUGGAAUAAUGAAAUAGGACGGCAUGGUUCUAUUUUGUUGGUUUCUAGGAUCACCGUAAUGAUUAAUAGGGAUAGUUGGGGGCAUUAGUAUUCAAUUGUCAGAGGUGAAAUUCUUGGAUUUAUUGAAGACUAACUUCUGCGAAAGCAUUUGCCAAGGAUGUUUUCAUUAAUCAAGAACGAAAGUUAGGGGAUCGAAGACGAUCAGAUACCGUCGUAGUCUUAACCAUAAACUAUGCCGACUAGGAAUCGGAC